ncrna:Tribolium castaneum (red flour beetle) microRNA tca-mir-281 precursor
UCGAAAAUGAAGAGAGCUAUCCGUCGACAGUAUAUAAUUUACACUGUCAUGGAGUUGCUCUCUUUAU